rnacentral:rRNA from 1 species
CAGGAUUUAGAUACCCUGGUAGUCCACGCUGUAAACGAUGUCGAUUUGGAGGUUGUGCCCUUGAGGCGUGGCUUCCGGAGCUAACGCGUUAAAUCGACCGCCUGGGGAGUACGGCCGCAAGGUUAAAACUCAAAUGAAUUGACGGGGGCCCGCACAAGCGGUGGAGCAUGUGGUUUAAUUCGAUGCAACGCGAAGAACCUUACCUACUCUUGACAUCCAGAGAACUUAGCAGAGAUGCAUUGGUGCCUUCGGGAACUCUGAGACAGGUGCUGCAUGGCUGUCGUCAGCUCGUGUUGUGAAAUGUUGGGUUAAGUCCCGCAACGAGCGCAACCCUUAUCCUUUGUUGCCAGCGGUUCGGCCGGGAACUCAAAGGAGACUGCCAGUGAUAAACUGGAGGAAGGUGGGGAUGACGUCAAGUCAUCAUGGCCCUUACGAGUAGGGCUACACACGUGCUACAAUGGCGUAUACAAAGAGAAGCGACCUCGCGAGAGCAAGCGGACCUCAUAAAGUACGUCGUAGUCCGGAUUGGAGUCUGCAACUCGACUCCAUGAAGUCGGAAUCGCUAGUAAUCGUAGAUCAGAAUGCUACGGUGAAUACGUUCCCGGGCCUUGUACACACCGCCCGUCACACCAUGGGAGUGGGUUGCAAAAGAAGUAGGUAGCUUAACCUUCGGGAGGGCGCUUACCACUUUGUGAUUCAUGACUGGGGUGAAGUCGUACAAAGGGUAACC